rnacentral:rRNA from 1 species
GUCGUAACAAGGUUUCCGUAGGUGAACCUGCGGAAGGAUCAUUAUUGAAUAAACCUGAUGGGUUGUUGCUGGCUCUCUUGGGAGCAUGUGCACACCUUGUCAUCUUUAUAUUUCCACCUGUGCACCUUUUGUAGACCUCCCCAGGUCUAUGUUGCUUCAUUUACCCCCAAUGUAUGUUAAUAGAAUGUUGUGUCUAUAAAAUCUAUACAACUUUCAGCAACGGAUCUCUUGGCUCUCGCAUCGAUGAAGAACGCAGCGAAAUGCGAUAAGUAAUGUGAAUUGCAGAAUUCAGUGAAUCAUCGAAUCUUUGAACGCACCUUGCGCUCCUUGGUAUUCCGAGGAGCAUGCCUGUUUGAGUGUCAUUAAUAUAUAUCAACCCACUCUUGUUGAGUGGUUUGGAUGUGGAGGGUUUUGCUGGCUGCUUAAAAGGUGCCAGCUCCUCUGAAAUGCAUUAGUGGAACAACCUGUCCAUUCAUUGGUGUGAUAACUAUCUACGCUGUUGAAUGUGAGGCAGUUCAGCUAUCUAACAGUCCUUGGACAAACUUAUCAUUUAAUGUGACCUCAAAUCAGG